rnacentral:piRNA from 1 species
UGAAACCAGCUGCAGGUGACAAUGU